CUCCCGUCACUGAGUUGAGGAUACUCUUUCCCCUGCAUCUUUCUGUAUCGCUAAACAUGAAUAAACACGACGUUGUUCUCUAUAAACAUUGGCCUUCUCCUCUGAAGAAAGGUGUCAGAAUUAGCUGAGGCAGGCAGCUAAAGGAAGAAUUCUAAAGAUGGAUUUAAAACAUCAGCCGGCUACCAGUCUUGCAAAGGAAGACAUGAAAACACAUCCAGAGUGUGUACACACCGAUCUGAGCUGAAAGCUGCACCCUUCUUUUCACUGAAGGAAGAGGAUUCGUUACUGGCAUCUUGAGGCUUCUACCUUGAAAUGCGUUUUCUACAAUGGCCAAUAUUCCAUGAUGCCCCCCAGCGGCAUUCUGAGCCCUCAUAAUCAGGCAUUUUUCAGUCACCCAUACAUUGCUGGAGCAAUGACG